GGCUCGGUGGUGGAUGGUUCCACACCCGCAAUUCGUGUCGCUAUUCCAUCCGCUCUGUGUUCAUGCGGGGAUCGCCCGUUCGACUCCGGCCCGAGCCU